rnacentral:rRNA from 1 species
CCUACGGGUGGCAGCAGUGGGGAAUAUUGGGCAAUGGAGGAAACUCUGACCCAGCAAUGCCGCGUGAAUGAAGAAGGUCUUCGGAUUGUAAAGUUCUUUAGUCAGGGAAGAAGUCAAUGACGGUACCUGAAGAAUAAGCUCCGGCUAACUACGUGCCAGCAGCCGCGGUAAUACGUAGGGGGCAAGCGUUGUUCGGAAUGACUGGGCGUAAAGGGUGCGUAGGCGGUUGUACAAGUUAGAAGUGAAAUACCCAGGGCUUAACUCGGGUGCUACUUCUAAAACUGUAGGACUUGAGUGCAGGAGAGGUUAGUGGAAUUCCUAGUGUAGCGGUGGAAUGCGUAGAUAUUAGGAGGAACACCAGAGGCGAAGGCGGGUAACUGGACUGUAACUGACGCUGAGGCACGAAAGUGUGGGGAGCAAACAGGAUUAGAUACCCUUGUAGUC